rnacentral:snoRNA from 1 species
UCUGGUGGAUGAACCAUGACUGUGUGAUCAGAGCAUGAUUAAUGGCUUGUUGAACUUCUACGAUGAGGGGCCUCAACUUGAGCUUUAGAGGAUCAUUCUUAGAUAGUUUUAUACUUGCCUGGCAUGGGAUAUGGUCACACGGUUGUUUGACAGA